GGCGAGCGGCGAACGGGUGAGUAAUGUAUCGGACGUACCCAGUCGUGGGGGAUAACUAUCCGAAAGGAUAGCUAAUACCGCAUACGACUGAGGGUGAAAGCGGGGGACCGCAAGGCUCGCGCGAUUGGAGCGGCCGAUAUCGGAUUAGCUAGUUGGUGAGGUAAAGGCUCACCAAGGCGACGAUCCGUAGCUGGUCUGAGAGGACGACCAGCCACACUGGAACUGAGACACGGUCCAGACUCCUACGGGAGGCAGCAGUGGGGAAUUUUGGACAAUGGGGGCAACCCUGAUCCAGCCAUUCCGCGUGAAGGACGACUGCCCUAUGGGUUGUAAACUUCUUUUGUAUAGGGAUAAACCUACCCUCGUGAGGGUAGCUGAAGGUACUAUACGAAUAAGCACCGGCUAACUCCGUGCCAGCAGCCGCGGUAAAUACGGAGGGUGCAAGGCGUUAUCCGGAUUAAUUGGGGUUUAAAAGGGUCCGGCAGGCGGGAUCUGUAAGUCAGUGGUGAAAUCUCCACAAGUUUUAAACUUGGUGAAAACUGGCCAUUUGGAUACACUGGGCGGUCCUUGGAAGUGUUGGUUGAAGUAGCUGGGAAUAAA
rnacentral:rRNA from 1 species